ACCCUCCUGUUUCCUUCCCUAGCAGAUCUAAACACUGGCCUGGGUAAUUACAAAACAGAGGGAAAGUGACAAUAAACUGAUUUCAAUGCUAUUGGUAUGCAUGGUCUAAUUUCAAAGAGUU
rnacentral:snoRNA from 1 species